CUCUCCAUCUAUAGUCUUGCUUACUUUUCUCACCUAGAUUCACCUUUGCUGACAUCAGUAACUUUAUGUUGCCUCCGUCCUGACUUGGAUGAAUAUGUCUUGUUUCUGAUCAUAGAACAUUUGCAUUCAAUAUUUAGACGCGGCAAAAUUGAGAUACAGGACCACCUUAGCUUCUUUGUCACGCUGGUCAUCCGUUUCAAUGUUUUUCCAGAAAAUAUUCGCUCUGCAAUUGAGGAAG
rnacentral:misc_RNA from 1 species